GAUGAACGCUGGCGGCGUGCUUAACACAUGCAAGUCGAGCGAACGGAUAAGGAGCUUGCUCCUUUGAAGUUAGCGGCGGACGGGUGAGUAACACGUGGGUAACCUACCUAUAAGACUGGAAUAACUUCGGGAAACCGGAGCUAAUGCCGGAUAACAUUUGGAACCGCAUGGUUCUAAAGUAAAAGAUGGUUUUGCUAUCACUUAUGGAUGGACCCGCGCCGUAUUAGCUAGUUGGUAAGGUAACGGCUUACCAAGGCAACGAUACGUAGCCGACCUGAGAGGGUGAUCGGCCACACUGGAACUGAGACACGGUCCAG
rnacentral:rRNA from 1 species